GCGCGACGCCCGCCCCAGGCACCAGCUGGGGCGGCGGGCAAAGGUCCCUCGGCCGCGGUCCCGGCCCGGGCCCGGCCGGUUGCGGGCGGCUGCUGCUCCCCGGGGCCGCCGGGAGGGAAGGAGGGAGGGAAGAGGGAGGGAGGAAGAAGCCGCCGGGUCCUAAUGCCGCCGAGCUCCGGCAGGAGCCUCCCGCCCGCUGCUGCCGCGGCCCUGGCGGGCCGGAGGCACCGAAGCGACGCCCUGACCAUCCCCAGGGAGAGUUCUCUGGCCGCGCUGGCUCGAUCAGUGAUCUCGUGGAGAACCCCCUGAACGCGCAAAACCUCCAUGUGCUCGGAGACCGGCAGAGCUGAGCACAGCCACGGGUGAAAACAGCACCCCAGGAGAAAAGCAUUGAAGGAUUCGACAGAAAAAGGAAGAGGUACCGGCAGCCCCUGACAUCGACGCACCUCUGUGCUUGUAAGAAAUCCUGAUUUUGUUCCUCAAAACUCAGCGCCUAAACUUUGCCUUGGAGCUGCUCAUCUUCAUCACACAGUACAGGAACAGAAAAAAACGCUCUGAAACAGGUAGGAAAGUGAGAGAGAAGGACUAAAACUGCACAUGCUGUAGCAGACACAAGCAAGAUUCCAGGAUCUCCCUAGUGAACCAAGAAAGGCUCUUGACAAGCCAAAGAUUCAGAACAGAGAAGACUGCAAGAAGUACAGGCUGCUGAGGCAGCUUUUACACUUGUGCAUGUGGAAUGUACCAGCAUGUCUGCUUUCUGCCUUGCUCUUGCUACUUAGGUUUAUUACAAGCAAAUACAGCUAUAUAAGAGGCAGAGAUACCACCCUCUGCACCCACACUCCAUCCUCUCAAACACAUCAGCCUGGCCAGAGCAGUAAUUUCUGAUGUACUUUCACUUUGCUACCUCCUUCCUCUCCUUGCCUAUACUUGGACAUCACUUGAAGAUUAAACAGUAGGAUUGUUACAUCUUUAUACAUUUUAUACCAUUUUAGUGAGACACUUAAGUGACCUGAGAUGACUUGAUCUGGAAUGCUAGAAUUAGAAACAGGAUUGAAAUGGUUACUUUUAUUACCUUCCAGUCCUUCCUGUGGAAAUUGUGAUCAAUUUUGUUAAUAGUUGUGUAUAGUUUUUAUUAAUGUGCCUACAGUCUUAAAGCCUAAACCUGACAAGGGAUGGGACAGAAAAGCACCUCAUCAGUGAAAAUAGUUAGGUGAGCAAUCACAACCUCCUCCUGAAAAUUAACAGGGACAUAAACAGAAAAAGUCGCACCCAAUGUACAGCCAUGAGUAGUGUUAAGUGAAAAAUUUAUAUUAAAGAGUGGUCUUCCCAUGAAUGUAUCUGUUCACUGUGGCAUAAACUCCUCCACUACAUACCAUGUAUAGUAGAACAAGACCAUUCUUUAAAAGCCAGAAAUACCUGACUUGUGAUAUGUUGUAUCUAUCCUGUCACAGCAAUGUCUUACUCUUAUCAAAACUAUGGCUCUGUCACGUAGAGAACAAAAAUUCUGCAGCCAUGCACAUAUUUUCAAUAUAUGAAUCAAUUCAAGCUUAGAGUUAAAUAUUAUAUGACACAUGAAAAACCCCCAACUGUCGUAAUGAUUCAAAACAAAAUCAGAAAAAUUUUACUUCAUGUACUUUUCAAAACUUUUCCUCUCAUCUCACUGCUGUGAGUGUGCAUCUCUUUCCCUAUUACAGAUACUAAAGAACCUUCUUGCAACAUUCUGGUGUGAAGCUUCUGUGAUUAUCUUUCUGAUUUUGAAGAAGGCAAGGAAGUAAGUCUAUAGUUGAAACUGGGUACAGGAAUCCUGAUCUGUGAAGAAAACCCAGUUUUGUCCAUGUACCAGAGGUGAAACAAUAACAGUUCUGCUGAAAGAGUUAAAAAAAAUACCCUUGCUGCUCUCAAUAUCCGUAUUAUAGACAUUGUAAGCAUUAUUAUGAAUAACACUGAACUUGGUUUCUGUUUCGCUCUUGUCCUACUUUGGGUUCUGUGGAAUGGUGUUCAAUAAAAGUUUGACUUCAUGUACAGCCAGAACCCCUUCUCACCAACAGGAAAGCCUAAUAAGCUUCAGAAUAUAUAUUGUUCAACUACAUUAAAAAUAAAGUCAAAGCCCUCAGUGUUUAUAACUCUGCAGCAUUUAUAAAAAAGCAUUUUUAAAUCGUACCUUGUGGGCACUAUUCAUAGCGUUCAUAUUGUAAAAUAAGACCAGAAAAUUUAAGCAUUAUCUCCAGAAUGAAUUCAGUUUUGUGAAUUCUGUGGUUUGUGUUUUAUUGAAAUGCAUUUCAACUUUUAGAAGUUCACUGAAGCAAAAGCCUCCUUUUCAUUACUGCUGUUCCUGUUUGGAGUAUGUUAACAGUUCAAAAGCUUUUCUUAACUAGUUUCUGAUUUUUAAUUAUCUACUACAUUUAUAAAGCAUAUGUUUGUGUUUUCUUUAAGUAUAAGGGGACUAAACUAAAGGCUUACACUAAAGAAGUGAUGUUCCUUCCAUGUCACUGAAGUUCUUAGCAUCAGGAAGGAGGCACUGAUAAGAAGCUAAGUAUGUGCACAAAAACAUACAGAGCAGGAGCCUUAGUUUCUAGACCCCAAGGAUAUCAUAGUAUUAAAUUUGAAAAAUCAAGUACUUUUAAUUCUGUAGGAUUUUUAGAAAGACAAAUGGUAUUGUUAAGGCUUCUGAGAUCAUAUAUGUGUCUACAAAGAUGCAAGUGAUCCAGUAAUUUAGCAACAAGGUAGACAGGUAUCAUGAAAAGAUUCUAUAUUUGUGCACCACUGAAAAGGGUGAUGAACUGCCAUUCUGAUAUGAAGCAUAUGUUUGUUUGGCUUUUUUCCAAAUUAUCACUUGUUUGGCUGUUGGUUAAAAUACCAAACUCAUAGUGAGUUCUCUUGGUGAGAGAAUCCUCAUCUUUUUUGUGUGAGAGAACACAAAAAAAAAUUCAAGUACCUGUUUAACUAUUCACAAGUAUUCUAUUAAUCUACUUCUAAUACUUCUUAUUGAAUGUACAUUGCAUAGAAUUCCCAUGCAGAACAUGACUGCUGUGAAGUCAUUAAUGUUACAAAAAUAACUGGCUGUCUUGAAAAAAAAUAAAUACGAUGUACUAUAA